rnacentral:lncRNA from 1 species
GUGGGCACCUGUAGUCCCAGCUACUCGGGAGGCUGAGGCAGGAGAAUGGCGAAUGGCGUGAACCCAGGAGGCGGAGCUUGCAGUGAGCUGAGAUCGCGCCACUGUACUCCAGCCUGGGCGACAGAGUGAGACUCCGUCUCAAAAAAAAAAAAAAAAAGUGGUUCAUAAAAAUGAGCCAGCCCACAGGCCCCACCCUUGGCAUUCUGAUCAGGGUGCCAUUAGAGAAUGUUCUCUAAACUCUGGCAAACAAAUAAGGGGGCCUCUCCUCUCCCAGAGUAGUAACUCCUGCUGUUGUUAUUAAGCCAAGCUCCACAUGUCAGUCACCUGGAAUCAGAUAUCAAAAAAAGGUGUACUGAUUUUUAGCUGCUUCCUCCCCCGGUCUGGUUGCCCUAGUGCGUUAAGUUCAGAGAGAUCAGCAGCUGUCAGAUUGGAAUCUCCCCAGCCUCAGUACAAACUGGCAGAGGGUUUCUUAAUGGCCUUGCCAUACAUGUGGUGCCUGGUUUUUCUCUCAGUGUACAGAGCAGGUGUCUGAGGGGAAGGAAGUGCCCACUCACUUUGGCUGUUGUGAAUCACCAGAGCUGCAGCCUGGCCAUGUAGUCUCUGCACUGGGAGUCAGGUGGAGUACCCCAGGCCCCUGUCCAGAAUGGAGCUUGACAUCUAUGCUAAAACCUUUCUUAAGGCUCCAAUUAACUGCCUAAGAGCACUAGCAAAUCUUUGCAGCAGUUCAACAUCUAUUUAGAAAUGCCCUUUGGUCUCCCUGUUUCAGAUACACAUCAGAGCAGGUGACUUUCACUUUCCCAGGACUCAAAAUGGAGACUGGGGAAUCCUUGUCAGAAUAAACAUUAAUGGAGGGCCGGGUGCGGUGGCUCACGCCUGUAAUCCCAGCACUUUGGGAGGCUGAGGCAGGUGGAACACUUGAGGCCAGGAGUUUGAGACCAGCC